AAAGGUGAAACCUAAUUGGCCUGGAGAAGAGCUUGCGUCUGAUUAGCUAGUUGGUGGGGUAAAGGCCUACCAAGGCGACGAUCAGUAGCUGGUCUGAGAGGAUGAGCAGCCACACUGGGACUGAGACACGGCCCAGACUCCUACGGGAGGCAGCAGUGGGGAAUUUUCCGCAAUGGGCGAAAGCCUGACGGAGCAACGCUGCGUGAGGGAGGAAGGUCUUUGGAUUGUAAACCUCUUUUCUCAAGGAAGAAGUUCCGACGGUACUUGAGGAAUCAGCCUCGGCUAACUCCGUGCCAGCAGCCGCGGUAAUACGGGGGAGGCAAGCGUUAUCCGGAAUUAUUGGGCGUAAAGCGUCCGCAGGUGGUCAGCCAAGUCUGCC
rnacentral:rRNA from 1 species